UCGGUCAAAAUAGAGGAAAAAGAAAUAAAAAAAACGCUUACUGGCAACGAAACCACCACGCCCAACAAAACAAAGGAAGUAGAGAAGAGGAGGGAAGGGAAGAGAAGUCGGCGUUUAGAACUCUGCAAACCCUAACCGAUUCCUCUCUUCUAUUCUUUCUAUUGGACGCAUCGAUCGCUGUUUCGAGACUGUGCAUGGGCUGGUUGUGCUGGUUUGAGUGGCUAAUUGAGUAAUCGAUGGUUUAAUUUAGAGUAUUUGAUUUGGGUACCGAAUUUGAGCUUCGAGUUUUUGGAGGUCAAAAGAUGGAUUUGGUAACUAGUUGCAAGGAUAAAUUGGCAUAUUUUCGGAUAAAAGAGCUCAAGGAUGUCCUGACACAGUUAGGUCUUUCGAAGCAGGGGAAGAAGCAGGACCUUGUUGACCGCAUAUUAGCUGUUCUCUCCGAUGAGCAAGUUCCAAAGACUUCAGUGAAAAAAAGUGCUGUUGGAAAGGAAGAGGUGGCAAAACUGGUGGAUGACAUUUACAGAAAAAUGCAGGUUUCUGGGGCCACUGAUUUAGCAUCAAAGGGACAGGGUGUUUUGGAUAGCAGCAAGGCAGUAAUUAAAGGAGAAAUGGAUGAGUCCUUUCAAUUGGAUACAAAAGUUCGUUGUCCAUGCGGAAGUUCAUUGUUGACGGAGUCGAUGAUUAAGUGUGAGGAUCUCAGAUGUCAAGUGUGGCAACAUAUUCGUUGUGUUAUAAUUCCUGAAAAACCCAUGGAGGGCAUUCCUCAAGUUCCUGACUUGUUUUACUGCGAGAUAUGUCGGCUCUGCCGUGCUGACCCUUUUUGGGUUACUGUUGCUCAUCCUCUGUAUCCUGUGAAGUUGGCUACUACAAAUAUCCCGAGUGAUGGUUCAAGCCCAGUGCAGAGUGUGGAGAAAACAUUUAAUCUUACAAGGGCAGAUAAGGACUUACUGACAAAACAAGAAUAUGAUGUUCAGGCUUGGUGUAUGCUUUUGAAUGACAAGGUUCCUUUUAGGAUGCAAUGGCCACAAUAUGCAGAUCUGCAGGUCAAUGGUGUGCCAGUUCGAGCUAUUAAUAGACCUGGUUCACAAUUAUUGGGGGCUAAUGGCCGUGAUGAUGGUCCAAUUGUCACACCAUGUACAAAAGACGGGAUCAAUAAAAUAUCAUUAACCGGAUGUGAUGCUCGAAUCUUCUGUUUAGGAGUCAGAAUUGUAAAGCGACGUACUGUUCAACAGAUACUCAACCUGAUUCCAAAGGAGUCUGAUGGUGAACAUUUUGAAGAUGCACUUGCUCGAGUUUGUCGUUGUGUUGGUGGUGGAGCAGCAGAUAAUGCUGAUAGUGACAGUGACCUAGAAGUAGUUGCAGAUUCUUUUACUGUUAGUCUCCGCUGUCCUAUGAGUGGUUCGAGAAUGAAGGUUGCUGGAAGAUUUAAACCUUGUGCUCAUAUGGGCUGUUUCGACCUUGAAGUUUUUGUGGAAAUGAACCAGCGUUCUAGGAAGUGGCAGUGCCCCAUUUGUCUCAAGAAUUACUCGUUGGAGAAUGUAAUCAUUGAUCCAUAUUUCAAUCGUGUCACUUCUAAGAUGUGGCAUUGUGGUGAAGAUACAACAGAGAUUGAGGUGAAGCCGGAUGGUUCUUGGCGCGUAAAAACCAAAACUGAAGCUGAGCGUAGAGAUGUUGGUGAACUUGCACAGUGGCACUAUCCUGAUGGUUCUCCAUGUGCACCUAAUGGGGGAGAGGUCAAAGCAAAAGUGGAAAUGGAAAAGUUGAUCAGGCAGGAAGGACCUUCAGACUGUCAUAAUGGUACUGGUUUGAAACUUGGAAUCAGGAAGAACCGCAAUGGCUUUUGGGAAGUCAGCAAACCAGAGGAUGUGAAUACAUCCUCUUCUGGUAAUAAAUUGCAAGAGAAGCUUGAAAGCCAUGAACAGAAAGUUAUUCCUAUGAGCAGUAGUGCCACAGGCAGUGGUCGGGAUGGUGAAGAUCCAAGUGUAAAUCAGGAUGGUGGUGGGAAUUUUGAUUUUACGAACAAUGGGAUAGAACUUGAUUCAUUGUCUCUAAAUGUAGAUUCAGCAUAUGAAUUUACUGACCGAAACAUUUCUGCACCAAUAAUGGAUGCAGAGGUUAUUGUUCUUAGUGAUUCAGAUGAUGAUAAUGAUCUAUUGAUGCCACCUGGAGCUCUUUAUAAGAAUAAUCAAACUGGCAAUGAUGGGGCUGCUUUUCCAAUGGCCCCUCCUGAAAUUGCAAAUCCCUAUACUGAAUAUCCUACAGAUGGGAAUGGUUUGGGCUUUCUAAAUCCUAAUGAUGUUCUAAAUCCUAAUGAUGAUGAAUUUGGGAUUCCCCACUGGCUGCCACCUGGAAGCCAAGGUGGCCCAGGGUUUCAAUUUCUUAAUUCAGAUGUCCCAGGUGCCUUCAUUGAUUUGGAUAAUGGUCCUAUCAACUGUCCCAUGUCAAUGAAUGGUUAUGCAUUGGCUCCAAAUACUGUCAUGGGACCAGCUGGUUUAGUUCCAGAUUCUUCCAUUGGUAGAUCUGACACUGACAUGAAUGAUGGCUUGGUUGAUAACCCCUUGCAAUUUGGUGGUGAAGAUCCUUCUCUUCAAAUCUUUCUUCCAACUAGGCCUUCAGAUGCAUCAGGGCAGUCUGAUUUGAGGGAUCAAGCUGAUAUGUCAAAUGGUGUCCAUACAGAGGAUUGGAUCUCUCUUAGUCUUGGUGGUGGUGGUGCCACUGGCAAUCACAGUGAUUCAAUUCCUGAAAAUGGACUGAAUUCGAGAAAGCAGGUGCCAUCGAGAGAAGGUGCAAUGGAGUCUUUGGCUGACACUGCUUCUUUGCUUCUUGGUAUGAAUAAUGGUAGAUCUGAGAAGGCAAGUCGGCAAAGAUCUGAUAGCCCUUUCACAUUUCCUCGCCCAAAACGUUCUGUAAGGCAGCGAUUGUAUCUCUCUAUAGACUCAGACUCAGACUCGGAGUAGUGAAGUGGAGCCCUUUUUUGGCUGAGAAAACUGUUGCCUUUACUUUGAUAUUGUUUGGGGGACAAACAUUUUCUGGUAUGGUUCGGUGAUUUAAAAAAAUUGACAUUUGGUUCCUAUGACAUGGAAGGCUGAAAUGAGGACAUUGGGAAAACUGUCCUCAUAAAGUUGUGUUGGCAGCCGAAGAUUAUUUUGUGCAAUUGGUGAGCUGUGGAUGCCCCUCUGCAAUCCCCUUUUUUCUCUCAUCUCUUUUUAAGGUUUGGCUGGCAUUAUUAGAGCGUAAGAAAGCGGCAAUCCAGUGUUGAUAGCUUCUCUCUCUCUUCAAUUUUUUCAGAGGUUUUUAAGAAAAUUAAGCUGUGGUGUUGGUUACUGGAUUAUUACUGCGUACUUGGACACUUCUAUAUGUGGUAAAUUUUGCUACUGUGCUGUACGGCUGGCUUUGUUUACGAAGUUCCUGGAUCAAGAUUUUAUUGUCCCUUUUUUCCGUGUGCAGAAGAGGACCAACACUAGUUACUAUGCAAUUGCUGUGGGUUAUUUAACAUGCAGAUCACCGACUGCUUGGAAGUGAUUUAUUUUGAGGUUUAAUGGAACUUGAGGAGUGCCUUUAUAAAGUUUUUUUUUUUUCACUCUAUUAUUUCACCUCAGUUGCAGGUCAUUCAUGCUGUUGGAGAUCGAAUCGAUGCUGGGGUUAUCCUAAUCAUAAUUUUGGGAUCAGUGUAAUGCUCCUGCAGUCCGGGAGCACUGUAGAAUUUAGAAGCUUUGACCUCGUUCCAUUUUAAAAUUUGCCAUAUGAGCUUUGUUGUAAUUACUAAUAAGCCUUCCAUCUCGAAUGUAUGUAUUUUCAGCAAGAUGAAUAUACAGAAUAAUCUUAGUCGGUACUGAUUUUAGACCCAA